AUGAACAGAGACAUGACAUGCUAUCAUAAAAGAGUUUAACCUGGAAGCAGUCAUCUGUGUGUGGGCAACUACUGAAAUGGAAGACAAAACCUGUAUAAAAAUUGCCAAGUGGGUACGUUCAGAAU